ACUACGGGAGGCAGCAGUGAGGAAUAUUGGUCAAUGGGCGCGAGCCUGAACCAGCCAAGUAGCGUGAAGGAUGACUGCCCUACGGGUUGUAAACUUCUUUUAUAAAGGAAUAAAGUGAGGCACGUGUGCCUUAUUGUAUGUACUUUAUGAAUAAGGAUCGGCUAACUCCGUGCCAGCAGCCGCGGUAAUCCGGAGGGUCCGAGCGUUAUCCGGAUUUAUUGGGGUUAACGGGAGCGUAGAUGGGUUGUUAAGUCAGUUGUGAAAGUUUGCGGCUCAACCGUAAAAUUGCAAUUGAUACUGGCAGUCUUGAGUACAGUUGAGGUAGGCGGAAUUCGUGGUGUAGCGGUGAAAUGCUUAGAGAUCACGAAGAACUCCGAUUGCGAAGGCAGCUUACUAAACUGCCACUGACAUUGAUGCUCGAAAGUGUGGGUAUCAAACAGGAGUAGAUACCCUUGUAGUC
rnacentral:rRNA from 1 species